rnacentral:rRNA from 1 species
GACGAACGCUGGCGGCGUGCCUAAUACAUGCAAGUAGAACGCAGUUGCGAACGGGUGAGUAACGCGUAGGUAACUGCCUGGUAGCGGGGGGAACUAAUGGAAAAGAUAACUAAUAACCCCGACUAACCGAAGGACCUGCGUUGUUUUAGCUAGUUGGUGGGGUAAAGGCUGACCAAGGCAACGAUACAUAGCCGACCUGGGAGGGUGAUCGGCCACACUGGGACUGAGACACGGCCCAGACUCCUACGGGAGGCAGCAGUAGGGAAUCUUCGGCAAUGGACGGAAGUCUGACCGAGCAACGCCGCGUGAGUGAAGAAGGUUUUCGGAUCGUAAAGCUCUGUUGUAAGAGAAGCGGUAUCUUACCAGAAAGGGACGGCUAACUACGUGCCAGCAGCCGCGGUAAUAC